GCGAUAGCGUCAGCUGCCAGAUCAGACUCCUGCAGUUUGAAGGAGCUGAACCUGACUCUCAAUGAUCUUCAUGAUGCAGGAGUUCAGCAUCUCUCAGAGCUUCUCAAGAAUCCCCACUGCAAACUGGAGAAUCUAAUAUUGGAGAAAUGUUCCCUCACAGAAAAGAGCUGUGCUGCGAUAGUGUCAGCUGCCAGAUCAAACUCCUGCAGUUUGAGGGAGCUGAAUCUGAGUUCCAAUGAUCUUCAUGAUGCAGGAGUUCAGCAUCUCUCAGAGCUCCUUAAGAAUCCCCACUGCAAACUGGAGAAAUUAGUGCUGUUGCGGUGUUCCCUCACAGAGAAGAGCUGUGCUGUGAUAGCGUCAGCUGCCAGAUCAAACUCCUGCUGUUUGAAGGAGCUGAACCUGUGUCACAAUGAGCUUCAUGAUGCAGGAGUUCAGCAUCUCUCAGAACUCCUCAAGA